UACGCAGGCGGAUUAAUAAGUCAGUGGUGAAAACCUGCAGCUUAACUGUAGAACUGCCAUUGAUACUGUUAGUCUUGAGUACGGUCAAGGUAGGCGGAAUGUGUAAUGUAGCGGUGAAAUGCUUAGAUAUUACACAGAACACCGAUUGCGAAGGCAGCUUACUGGACCAUUACUGACGCUGAGGCACGAAAGCGUGGGGAGCGAACAGGAUUAGAUACCCUGGUAGUCC
rnacentral:rRNA from 1 species